AUUGAACGCUGGCGGCAGGCCUAACACAUGCAAGUCGAGCGGAGCGGCGGACGGGUGAGGAAUGCAUAGGAAUCGGCCUGGGAGUGGGGGAUAACGUCCGGCAACGGGCGCUAAUACCGAAUACUAUCGGCAUAGCCUAGGUGGGAUUAGCGAGUUGGUGGGGUAAAGGCCUACCAAGGCGACGAUCCGUAACUGGUCUGAGAGGAGGAUAAGUCACACUGGAACUGAGACACGGUCCAGACUCCUACGGGAGGCAGCAGUGGGGAAUAUUGGACAAUGGGCGCAAGCCUGAUCCAGCCAUGCCGCGUGUAUGAAGAAGGUCUUCGGAUUGUAAAGCACUUUAAGCUGGGAGGCGUUACCAACAGAAUAAGCACCGGCUAACUUCGUGCCAGCAGCCGCGGUAAUAC
rnacentral:rRNA from 1 species